GGAUGAACGCUAGCGACAGGCUUAACACAUGCAAGUCGAGGGGCAGCGGGGUAGUGCUUGCACUACUGCCGGCGACCGGCGCACGGGUGAGUAACACGUAUGGAACCUGCCCGCAGCAGGGGGAUAAGCGGAAGAAAUUCCGUCUAAUACCGCGUAACAACGUUGGGAGGCAUCUCCCGAUGUUUAAAGAUUUAUCGGCUGCGGAUGGCCAUGCGGCGCAUUAGCUAGUCGGCGGGGUAACGGCCCACCGAGGCGACGAUGCGUAGGGGUUCUGAGAGGAAGGUCCCCCACACUGGUACUGAGACACGGACCAGACUCCUACGGGAGGCAGCAGUGAGGAAUAUUGGUCAAUGGCCGAGAGGCUGAACCAGCCAAGUCGCGUGAGGGAAGACGGCCCUACGGGUUGUAAACCUCUUUUGUCGGGGAGCAAAGCGAACCACGUGUGGUUCAUUGAGAGUACCCGAAGAAAAAGCAUCGGCUAACUCCGUGCCAGCAGCCGCGGUAAUACGGAGGAUGCGAGCGUUAUCCGGAUUUAUUGGGUUUAAAGGGUGCGCAGGCGGAGGUGCAAGUCAGCGGUCAAAUUGCGGGGCUCAACCCCGUACUGCCGUUGAAACUGCAUCCCUUGAGUGCGCGAGAAGUAUGCGGAAUGCGUGGUGUAGCGGUGAAAUGCAUAGAUAUCACGCAGAACUCCGAUUGCGAAGGCAGCAUACCGGCGCGCAACUGACGCUCAUGCACGAAAGCGUGGGUAUCGAACAGGAUUAGAUACCCUGGUAGUCCACGCAGUAAACGAUGAACACUAACUGUUCGGCCAGAAUGAUGGCUGAGUGGUACAGCGAAAGCGUUAAGUGUUCCACCUGGGGAGUACGCCGGCAACGGUGAAACUCAAAGGAAUUGACGGGGGCCCGCACAAGCGGAGGAACAUGUGGUUUAAUUCGAUGAUACGCGAGGAACCUUACCCGGGCUCAAACGACACAGGAAUACUUUUGAAAGGAGGUAGCCCUACGGGGUCUGUGUCGAGGUGCUGCAUGGUUGUCGUCAGCUCGUGCCGUGAGGUGUCGGCUUAAGUGCCAUAACGAGCGCAACCCCUAUCGCCAGUUACCAUCAAGUAAAGUUGGGGACUCUGGCGAGACUGCCGGCGCAAGCUGAGAGGAAGGCGGGGAUGACGUCAAAUCAGCACGGCCCUUACGUCCGGGGCGACACACGUGUUACAAUGGCAGGUACAGAGAGAAGCCAGGUGGCGACACCGCGCGGAACUCGAAAGCCUGUCUCAGUUCGGAUCGGAGUCUGCAACCCGACUCCGUGAAGCUGGAUUCGCUAGUAAUCGCGCAUCAGCCAUGGCGCGGUGAAUA
rnacentral:rRNA from 1 species